AAAACCCUCGCCACUCAUGAAGAACUGAGGCAAAAGGAUCACAGAUGCUGCUCGGGGCCAGCCCUAUACUCCCUCCAGUGCCUGGUCUCCGGUGGACCCGCGGGGCUCUGCAGUUCUCUGGCGGCCGCGCCUUGUAAGCGCUAAGCCGGGAGGAGGGCGCAGGCAGGGCGCACAGCUCUGAGCGCGACCCUACCCGGCUCGGGCCCGCAGCAACCCCGACUGUCCGAGAGCCUCUCCCCAAGCAAGGCUCUGCGCCGCCCUCUGAGCCCACCUCCUGGCCACAACGCUGCCUGCGCUUCUCCAGCCCAGGCCGGAAGCCCUAUGCUGCCUCCCGAAGCCGGACUUUCUGGAAGCCCAUCUUCGUAUGCUCACCAGCCCACCCUCCUACGCUGGUCAGAGUGAGAUUGCUAACCUCAAGACCCCAUUCAAUGCCAGCUUUCAACUACUGCUGAAGACCAAUGUAGGUCCUGGAAUAGAAGAACUGCAGAGUAUCCCUAAGGUCUCCUCUUCAUCUGGCAUGUGUGUUCACAGAAGGUACAGUGUGCGAGAACACACUUAGGAAAUUUUAGGAACGCUAACCACAGUACUGGAGGAAUAAAGAUGUGUCGAAGGAAUGGAUGGAAUGCAUGAACACAUACACCUUGUUGUCCAGAUGCAGACAAAAGCUACCAUGUCCGCUUGGAGUGACGCCCAGACACGCACAGAGAUGUACAGGAAGCCAAGGAGAGUGGGAUCCACCAGAGUACAGUACAAGUACAGAGUACAGUGCAAGAUGCCCAGUGGCCCUGGAGAAAAACCUUCGUUGACUCUUCUGUAUGGAAAGUUUCUGAAGAAAGGGCCAAGGAAUGAUCUGCCCCAGAGGCUGCCUUUAGGCUCCCAUACCUGCUCUGUUUGGAGACACCCAGAAGAGGCCAGUACAGCAAAGACUCUUUUUGGUUUGGUUAUUUCUGUUGCUUGUUGUCUUUUUUUCAUCCUUUGCCUGGGAAAUUGUGCUCUGGAAUAGGGCUUGAGUAGACAGCACAGGCCUCCAGUAGAUAACAAGAGAUUCUCAAUCUCCAAUGAGGACAUUCCGUUCUAAGGAAGCUUCCAGAUAGGGGAAAGCCCUGUUUUGUCCCCCUUUUCUCCUCUGAGAUCUGAAAAAAUAGAAAGAAAAAAAAAGAAAAACAAAACAAAUAUAAAAACUAUAGCCCAAUCCCAUGUACAUCAAAUAAAUCCACAAGGAAUAUGCUAGAUCAAGCUAAAUUAUGUAUUUAACUCAUUUUCUUUUGUGAGAUACUGAGAAGUCUUCAACUUCCUCUAUUCCAGGCAGGGAUCGAGGACCUGGCCUGGCAGAGGUUCCACCACCAGGGUUUCCCACAGUGGUUCUGGGACUAGGCGUAAGGUGUCCUGACUUGUUUUCUCUGUCACCUCUUCUGGGGAACUGGGGAACUGUCCCAGACAAUGGCUGCCCCAGUUCCCUCUAGAAGAGACAGCCCCCACCCCCAGAACCCGUUGCCCUCCAACCUCACCUCAUUUUCUCUUGAGCUCAUUCUCCGAGCUCUUAAAGUAGUAGGUGUGAGUCUUGGACCAUUUCUUUAAAAGAAACAACUAAGGAAAGGGAGGGAGGGGAGGAGGGAGGAGGGGAGCGGGAAGGAGAGCUACCUCCUAGACUAACGCGUCCAGGAACCACUCUCUAAGGAGCAAAAGAGAGCCUGUGUUGUAAAGUAGAAGUGAUCCCCCGACAUUGCUGCAGGGCGCCUUGCAACAGAUGUAACUGUCCACUGAAGAGACAGAGGGUGGGCAUGGGGAAGAUUUUUUUUCCUCCCUUUUGUGAACAGCUCUUACACUUUUCCAAGACACAUUGAGUUCCUGGACAUUUUUGUGAAUUUGUUCUUGAUUGUGUUUUGAACAAUAAACUGUGAAAAUCAACUUCAAGCCCACACAAUCAGAAUCUUUCUUGGGAGGGCAGGUUCUUUCAGCGCUGUUUUUCUCCAGGUCGCUUUUAUCUUACCCCCAAUGGGAGUCACCUGCUGAUGCUCCUCGGGAGGAGACUGUAACUGAAAGACGGAAGUGAAUGCAGACACAGCAUCCUCUGAGCCAAACCGUUGCUUUGGUUCCUUCUAGCUUAGGAUGCCGAACACUGGCUGGCUUUGAACACCCUCUACUUCGCUAAGAAGUUUAGAGCCUUUCUCACAACAAACCACAGCGUUUUAGAACUGGAAAUGUUUCUUCUGAUUUUCCAGUCUUAGGACAAUUUUCGAACUCUAACUUAAAAAAAAAUUUGUUUAUGGGGGUUUAGCUAGAACACUUGUAGCAUUCGCUUCUCAAGGAAAGAUCAACUGUUUUCUCAUAACCCCAACUGCUCCACACACUUCAUAGGAUAUAAUGUAUUUUCUUUACUUAUCCUUGUGCCUUCUGCCCAGGACAUAGAACUAGGGGCAAAACUUUGGAGGUCUAUGACCUCUUGAUAGCACCUGUAAUUGUUAGGCUUUUGUUCUUGUGCCUUGUAAAUCUCUCAUGUACGUCUAUGAAAAUAUGCAUUGCAUGGGUGUGAUCCUAUCAAGUUGUCCACACUUUCUCAACAACCACUGAUGAGUGAAACCAUUUCUAUUGCCCAGGGCAAAGGGCUAAUCGCCUUGUGGGUCUAGAGUUGUCAUAGGAUAAUAUCCGGUGUGUGUGUGAUAUGACAGUUAUUACUUUCAAGAAUAAAUUAAAAUAACCAGAUACCCCUUUAAUACUUUCCUCAACAGCGUCAAUGCUCUAGAGAUGGGACCUCGCCUUCCAAGGUGUCUUCACUAUCACAGGGCCCGGGCUCUCUGCCUCAGCCCAACCCUGGGCUUGCGCUCAGAGAGGAGGUAUUCCGACGGAAAAAAAUCCCAUACAUUUUUAACUACAGUGAUUACUAAAUUAAUAGCAGGCACCAAGACAGAUGUCAAAACGUCUUGAAAAUGUUUAUCUGUGAAUAAUUGAGAAGGUAGUGGGACGCAUUAUCUGAUUGUGUAAUGAAAUAUGUAUGAGGAACAGCUGUUUGCAGCAGCCCCUUCCCCUUGCCGCCUUAGCCAGGGCCCUUCUCUCGCAAGCUUUCUUCUACUUUCUUCCACCUUUUUCUUCCUUCUACUUUCUAGUUCGCUCUCUUCUUCCUUAACUGCUCGCACGGCUUUGGCUGCAGUGAACCCAGAGUCGCCUGGUUCUCUGAUGAAGGUUAGCCACAAGGUUUCCUCUAAGCCUUGCUGGAUUGGCGUUCCGUAGUGGGAUGAGGCUUCGUUGUCUGCUGUUCUGGCCAUCGCGCCUUCCGGCCAGGCUGCCCGCUGGGUCUCCAUGGAGUCUGCGGG
rnacentral:lncRNA from 1 species